GGGGGUAGGAAGGGGCCGGGGGCGCUGGCUCUGCCCGGCCCGUCGGUGUCGGCGGCCCCGCGGGUGUCGGGACGCCGCGCACUGCGUGGGGAGGAGGGGAGGGGGAGCGGCGCCACCGAGCUCCCCCCGCCGCGGGCCCGGCCGGUGGGGCCGCUCCCUGCCCCGGCAGCGGUGUCGCCGAGCCCCGGAGACCUCCGCCGAGGGGACCGGCGUUACAUGCGGGUACUUCUCUGCCUUGCAGGGGCGGCCGUCCGGCGGGAGGGAGCCCUGAGCCCAGCCCCCGGGCAGGGAAGGAGCGACCAUGGACAUCUCGCCGCUUCCCGGGGCGCCUGCUUUCCUUCGUCAGGAUCUGGGGCUUCUGCUGGUCCUGAUGGAAGUCGUGCUGUCAGCCGUCAAAGUAGAUGCUAUGGCUUAUCUAUCAUUCCAUUAAAAGAAACAACCGACAAAUCAUCUCUGCAAGCCUUACAGAUUACUCCCUUCAACAAAAUGAUGUUUAGCAGAGUGGCGUAAGGUUUCAGCGUCAGGUUGUUUGAAGUAUCCCCCUGUUGCUUGUGCUGAGAUUGGGUAAUUUGUUAAAGCAAUAGUAAAGCAAGCCCCAGAACGUCUUCAUUUUAACAAGAAAAGCACCGAGACAGAUGGGUGGGACAAAAAGGCAGUGCUAUAUAUGCUGGAGAGUACUUUGGAGAAGUUAACCUGCGGACGGAGUAUCUUCAUUUAAGCACAGAAUUCAUCUGAGGACUGAGAGAUUGAAGCUCUGACUUAACUUUACACAUCAGAGGCAUGUUUAUACAUAAAUUGUUGUUGUUUAAACUUCAUUGUUAAGUCCACAAAUAAAAACUGGUAAGUUAGAUGCGACUAUCUGCUU
rnacentral:lncRNA from 1 species